CUUGUGAAGAAUCAAUUUGGAAUCCUUGACCAAGCAUUGCAAAGGAAUGGUUACAUCUAUCAUUUCAUCCCUAUGUCCGCUCUCCUCUGAGGCAGCUCGAUCUUGUUGAGGAUAAACAAAUCGACCAUAUAAGGCUUUGAUACAUUAAAGGAGCCAGAACCCGUACCAUUUUGGGUUCCUAGUUGACCAGACAUAGUCACAGUGUCCCUCAGAGUGAGAGGUGUUUCGAUAGAUUGUGCAAAUGACAUCCCACUGACUUCGAUGCAAGAAAACAAGCCACUACUGAAACAAGGUUCACAACUUUUAUAAUCAAGUGUUAUAAAUUUUAAUUAUUGAGUAAUCAAUUAAAAAAAAUUUUAC